rnacentral:rRNA from 1 species
AACGAACGCUGGCGGCAGGCUUAACACAUGCAAGUCGAACGAGACCUUCGGGUCUAGUGGCAGACGGGUGAGGAACACGUGGGAACAUCCCUUUCAGUUCGGAAUAACGUUGGGAAACUAACGCUAAUACCGGAUACGUCCUUCGGGAGAAAGAUUUAUCGCUGAAAGAUUGGCCCGCGUCUGAUUAGCUAGUUGGUGAGGUAAUUGCUCACCAAGGCUACGAUCAGUAGCUGAUCUGAGAGGAUGAUCAGCCACAUUGGGACUGAGACACGGCCCAAACUCCUACGGGAGGCAGCAGUGGGGAAUAUUGGACAAUGGGCGCAAGCCUGAUCCAGCCAUGCCGCGUGAGUGAUGAAGGCCUUCGGGUUGUAAAGCUCUUUUGUCCGGGAAGAUAAUGACUGUACCGGAAGAAUAAGCCCCGGCAAACUUCGUGCCAGCCGCCGCGGUAAUAC